UCAACUUUCACACACUGCUCUCCCGUUAUUUGCCUCCUUCCCUCCCUGUCGCCCCUUUCCCUCCUCUCCCUCCUCCUCCUCCUCCUCCUUUUCCAGUUCAGCGGCGCAAAUUUCUGUUUGUGCCAGUGGGGCGGCCUGGCGAGACCGCAAUUGCUCUACCCCACAGAUUGACGAGCCCUCAGAUGCCGAUUUACUGUACAUGGCAGCCACGCUGGAGCCGCGGCACAUCUGGAGUGGAGUAAGCUUACUCAGAAACAGGGGCCAGCUCCAGCCGGAGCCAGCGGAGCCGAGCGCGGCGCUGAAAGGCAGCCCUCCUGCCUCCCCUUCCCUCCUCCCCGGAUCCCAGUAGGAAAGGGUCAAAAUUCCCUGUGAAACAUCUUGCCCAGGUCUCAGCCUUCUCACCAGGGGAAGCAGUGAGCAUUGCCUCCUUAUGGCUGCUUAGAAACCGCUCGAGUCUUUCGGGAGGCAAAGAACAGAGAAAGAAAAGCAGCUUGAGAUGACUUCUUUGAGCUCCUACAUAGGAGUGGAGCUCCCAGUUGUCUGGAUUCCUGGGAGGAGGAGAAACAGCCCUGGCAUACCUGGUGUGGAGCUGAAUCUACAUCCAGAUCCUGCAUCGUGCUGGUCUCCUUGGGGACAGAGGACAUAGUAACCACAGGCAUCAGAACCAGAAUGUGCUGCUGCAAAUUUCUCCUGCUUCCAAAAAGUUUUACUACAGCUUGAAGCAGCCUGGGCAUUUAAAUGUAACAGCUGCGAGAGAGAGUCCUGCCUGGUUGAGACAAACCUGACAUUCAUUCCUGCUGGCCUGCCUAAGGGAGGAUCCCUUUUGGCUCACCUGACACAUCUGCUACUUCCACAUCCCAAGAAGUCAAGCAUUAUGUUUCAGGUGCAAUAAAACAUGGCUCCUUCCUGGUGUGAGGAAUUUCUAGUGGUGACAUUGAUUUUCUCUGAGUGCAUUCCAACAGAUCUGUGGACUGGACCUGGCUUAUGAGGUGUGUUAAAGGUUUAUUUGCCCUGCAAUUCAGCCAUAAUGCCCAGGAUAAUUUUUUCCGUGAUGUGGCCUUCAGUGCCUCUGGUGCAUCCCCUCAGGGCAGCCUUUGGCCCUUGGGUCUCCCCAGAGCCAGUGGCUUCCCUCAGCUGUUUUGUGCUGGCCACAAUACAAGCAUGGCCCAAGUAAGACCGAGACAACUGAUAAUGCCUUAAUGUUUGUAAUACCAGCAGGACAGAAAUGAUCAGCUGCAAGGUGAGAGUUGUUUGGAUUUCACAGCUCCUCAGGAGUGGUGUGUUUUGCAGUGGUGGCUGUGGUUUGAUGGGGGAGCUGUUCUGAAUGCUACAGGAAGCACAAAGGGUCCACUCUGCUUGU